GACGAACGCUGGCGGCGUGCUUAACACAUGCGAGUCGAACGGUAAGGCCCUUCGGGGUACACGAGUGGCGAACGGGUGAGUAACACGUGGGUGAUCUGCCCUGCACUUCGGGAUAAGCCUGGGAAACUGGGUCUAAUACCGGAUAGGACCACUGCCUGCAUGGGUGGUGGUGGAAAGCUUUUGCGGUGUGGGAUGGGCCCGCGGCCUAUCAGCUUGUUGGUGGGGUGAUGGCCUACCAAGGCGACGACGGGUAGCCGGCCUGAGAGGGUGACCGGCCACACUGGGACUGAGAUACGGCCCAGACUCCUACGGGAGGCAGCAGUGGGGAAUAUUGCACAAUGGGCGCAAGCCUGAUACAGCGACGCCGCGUGAGGGAUGACGGCCUUCGGGUUGUAAACCUCUUUCAGCACCGACGAAGCGCAAGUGACGGUAGGUGCAGAAGAAGGACCGGCCAACUACGUGCCAGCAGCCGCAGUAA
rnacentral:rRNA from 1 species